rnacentral:rRNA from 1 species
UAAGGAAUAUGGUCAAUGACGAAGUCUGAACCAGCCAUGCCGCGUGGAGGAUGAAGGUCCUCUGGAUUGUAAACUUCUUUUAUAUGGGACGAAAAAGGUCUUUCUAGAUCGUCUGACGGUACCAGAUGAAUAAGCACCGGCUAACUCCGUGCCAGCAGCCGCGGUAAUACGGAGGGUGCAAGCGUUAUCCGGAUUCACUGGGUUUAAAGGGUGCGUAGGUGGGUUGGUAAGUCAGUGGUGAAAUCUUCGAGCUUAACUCGGAAACUGCCAUUGAUACUAUCAGUCUUGAAUAUUGUGGAGGUUAGCGGAAUAUGUCAUGUAGCGGUGAAAUGCUUAGAUAUGACAUAGAACACCAAUUGCGAAGGCAGCUGGCUACACAUAUAUUGACACUGAGGCACGAAAGCGUGGGGAUCAAACAGGAUUAGAUACCCUGGUAGUCCACGCCCUAAACUAUGGAUACUCGACAUACGCGAUACACUGUGUGU